rnacentral:rRNA from 1 species
CCUACGGGUGGCAGCAGUGGGGAAUAUUGGACAAUGGGGGGAACCCUGAUCCAGCCAUGCCGCGUGUGUGAAGAAGGCCCUCGGGUUGUAAAGCACUUUCAGUGAGGAAGAACGCCUGGUGGUUAAUACCCAUCAGGAAAGACAUCACUCACAGAAGAAGCACCGGCUAACUCCGUGCCAGCAGCCGCGGUAAUACGGAGGGUGCGAGCGUUAAUCGGAAUUACUGGGCGUAAAGCGCGCGUAGGUGGCUUGAUAAGCCGGUUGUGAAAGCCCCGGGCUCAACCUGGGAACGGCAUCCGGAACUGUCAAGCUAGAGUGCAGGAGAGGAAGGUAGAAUUCCCGGUGUAGCGGUGAAAUGCGUAGAGAUCGGGAGGAAUACCAGUGGCGAAGGCGGCCUUCUGGACUGACACUGACACUGAGGUGCGAAAGCGUGGGUAGAAAACAGGAUUAGAUACCCCAGUAGUA